UUGAUGUUCUAACGUUGACCCGUAAUCCGGGUUGCGGACAGUGUCUGGUGGGUAGUUUGACUGGGGCGGUCUCCUCCUAAAGAGUAACGGAGGAGCACGAAGGUUGGCUAAUCCUGGUCGGACAUCAGGAGGUUAGUGCAAUGGCAUAAGCCAGCUUGACUGCGAGCGUGACGGCGCGAGCAGGUGCGAAAGCAGGUCAUAGUGAUCCGGUGGUUCUGAAUGGAAGGGCCAUCGCUCAACGGAUAAAAGGUACUCCGGGGAUAACAGGCUGAUACCGCCCAAGAGUUCAUAUCGACGGCGGUGUUUGGCACCUCGAUGUCGGCUCAUCACAUCCUGGGGCUGAAGUAGGUCCCAAGGGUAUGGCUGUUCGCCAUUUAAAGUGGUACGCGAGCUGGGUUUAGAACGUCGUGAGACAGUUCGGUCCCUAUCUGCCGUGGGCGCUGGAGAACUGAGGGGGGCUGCUCCUAGUACGAGAGGACCGGAGUGGACGCAUCACUGGUGUUCGGGUUGUCAUGCCAAUGGCACUGCCCGGUAGCUAAAUGCGGAAGAGAUAAGUGCUGAAAGCAUCUAAGCACGAAACUUGCCCCGAGAUGAGUUCUCCCUGACUCCUUGAGAGUCCUGAAGGAACGUUGAAGACGACGACGUUGAUAGGCCGGGUGUGUAAGCGCAGCGAUGCGUUGAGCUAACCGGUACUAAUGAACCGUGAGG
rnacentral:rRNA from 1 species